AUUGAACGCUGGCGGCAGGCCUAACACAUGCAAGUCGAGCGAGCGGCGGACGGGUGAGUAAUGUAUGGGGACUGCCCGAUAGAGGGGGCUCACUACUGGAAACGGUGGCUAAUACCGCCUACUGUCGGAUAACCCAUAUGGGAUUAGCUAGUAGGUAAGGUAAUGGCUUACCUAGGCGACGCUCCCUAGCUGGUCUGAGAGGAUGAUCAGACAAACUGGGACUGAGACACGGCCCAGACUCCUACGGAGGCAGCAGUGGGGAAUAUUGCACAAGGGGCGCAAGCCUGAGGCAGCCAUGCCGCGUGUAUGAAGAAGGCCCUAGGGUUGUAAAGUACUUUCAGUCGGGAGGCGUUACCGACAGAAGAAGCACCGGCUAACUCCGUGCCAGCAGCCGCGGUAAUUC
rnacentral:rRNA from 1 species